UGCCAUCAACAUAUCAUCUCCACUCCUGA
rnacentral:piRNA from 1 species